GCUUACGGCCACACCGGCCUGAGUACGCCUGAUCUCGUCCGAUCUCGAAGCUAAGCAGGUCGGGCCUGGUUAGUACUUGGAUGGGAGACCGCCUGGGAAUACCAGGUGCUGUAAGCU
ensembl:rRNA 5S_rRNA 5S ribosomal RNA